rnacentral:tRNA from 2 species
UGGCACAUAGCAGCCUUCAUGACAGUAGCACUCCGUCAUGGGGUGUCGGGGGUCGGAGGUUCAAAUCCUCUCGUGCCGACCA